UACGAAGGGGGCUAGCGUUGUUCGGAUUUACUGGGCGUAAAGCGCACGUAGGCGGAUCGUUAAGUCGGGGGUGAAAUCCCACGGCUCAACCGUGGAAGUGCACUCGAAACUGCAUAGCUAGAGUCCUGGAGAGGAAGGUGGAAUGCUUGGUGUAGAGGUGAAAUUCGUAGAUAUCAAGCGGAACACCGGUGGCGAAGGCGGCCUUCUGGACAGUGACUGACGCUGAGACGCGAAAGCGUGGGGAGCAAACAGG
rnacentral:rRNA from 1 species